rnacentral:tRNA from 1 species
GCCCCUAUAGCUCAACUGGCAGAGCAACUGACUUUUAAUCAGUGGGUUGCAGGUUCAAAUCCUGCUAGGGGCAC